UACGUAGGAGGCAAGCGUUGUCCGGAAUUACUGGGCGUAAAGCGCGUGUAGGUGGUGGGACAAGUCUGCUGUGAAAGCGCCUGGCUUAACCGGGCGAGGUCGGCGGAAACUGUCCGACUCGAGGACGGUAGAGGGGGGGGUGGAAUUCCCGUGUAGUGGUGAAAUGCGUAGAGAUCGGGAGGAACACCUGUGGCGAAGGCGGCCCCCUGGCCGGCCCUGACACUGAGACGCGAAGGCGUGGGGGGAGCGAACGGG
rnacentral:rRNA from 1 species